GGGAGGGUUGGAGUUUUCCUUUGGGGUUUUUGUGGGAUUUCCCCCCCCCCCGGUUUUUAAGGAUCUGGAUCGUUGCCAAACCAAGUGUGGAGCAGCGACAAAGAAUUCAGACCAAAGAGGAAAUUGAAAUACAGUUCCAUCUCUGUGCCCGCUUUUCCUUGGCCUGAAAAAAACUUUAUAGGAUGCCGAAAUCCCUGCUUUGUUCCCAACGCCCAACCCCCCACCCCUUGGGCUCCCUACUUAUCUCAUCGCUUUUGUGAGCUGGUGACGAUUCUAGGAAGCAGUUAGUGGAACCAGCUAAUUUUUACAAAGAAGAGAGAAGGGUCUGCAGAUCCACAUCCCAACACUUCAGGCACGGCUGGACCGGUUAUUAGAUUAUCUUCAUAAAGGAUCGUUUCGGGGACUUUCCUGAAGACGACAGGCCCAGUCCGGAAAGUAAAGAGCUUUCUUGUCCUGGUGAAUCUCCCAUUUAUUCUUCUGGCGCUAUAUUGUGCAGGAGAACUUCCCUGCGGAUGGUGCCUGGCUCCCCUUAAGCUGACGUCUCUGAACAGGCCCGUGAUCAGCUGGAUCUCUCAGACAGGAUUGUCUCAGUCAAAAGCAGAGAACAGAGAGGUAUGCAAACAUAGCUAACGUUUACUAUUUAUGUUUUGUUCCUGAAAACCGUGUCCGGGGCUCUUUACUUGAAUAUUUUGACACGGGAUCUCACAAGAAGGUUGGAGUGGAUUUCAGGACCAUAUCCUAUUGAACAAGUACAGUAUACGGGAACGAUUAGAAGGUUGAUCAUACACAGGAGUUGUUGUUCACGUCUAAAUAUGAAACCGCCACUUAUCCUUCAUUCCUUAAUUGUAGGCCAAAGUUGAUCAGAUAAGCUUUUAUGGGGAGGCGGUCUUCCUGUCCCUAUACAUUGAACAUGCGUCUCAAAGUUAAGUCCCCCCCCUCUCUUUCAUUCUCCUGCCCCAGUUUCUAGAAAUGUUCAACUUCAGACCCAUCUAUUAAACGGGGGAGGGGGGGAUGGAUGGAUGGAUAAAUAAAUACAUAAAUAAAUAAAUUAAAUAAAUAAAU
rnacentral:lncRNA from 1 species